UGCGUAGGUGGUUUGGUAAGUUAGAUGUGAAAUUCCUGGGCUUAACCUGGGGGACUGCGUCUGAUACUGCUAAGCUAGAGUACUGUAGAGGGAAGUGGAAUUUCCGGUGUAGCAGUGAAAUGCGUAGAUAUCGGAAGGAACAUCAGUGGCGAAGGCGACUUCCUGGACAGAUACUGACACUGAGGCACGAAAGCGUGGGGAGGCAAACA
rnacentral:rRNA from 1 species